GCGGACGUGGCGGAAUGGUAGACGCUGCGGACUUAAAAUCCGCUUGCCCUAGGCAGUGCGGGUUCGAGUCCCGCCGUCCGCACCA
rnacentral:tRNA from 1 species